UGGGGAAUAUUGCACAAUGGGCGAAAGCCUGAUGCAGCAACGCCGCGUGAGUGAUGAAGGCCUUCGGGUUGUAAAGCUCUGUCUUUUGGGACGAUAAUGACGGUACCAAAGGAGGGAGCCACGGCUAACUACGUGCCAGCAGCCGCGGUAAUACGUAGGUGGCAAGCGUUGUCCGGAUUUACUGGGCGUAAAGGAUGCGUAGGCGGAUUUUUAAGUGAGAUGUGAAAACCCUAAGCUUAACUUGGGGACUGCAUUUCAUACUGGAAAUCUAGAGUGCGGGAGAGGAGAAUGGAAUUCCUAGUGUAGCGGUGAAAUGCGUAGAGAUUAGGAAGAACACCAGUGGCGAAGGCGAUUCUCUGGACCGUAACUGACGCUGAGGCAUGAAAGCGUGGGUAGCAAACAGGAUUAGAUACCCUGGUAGUCCACGCCGUAAACGAUGAGUACUAGGUGUAGGAGGUAUCGACCCCUUCUGUGCCGCAGUUAACACAAUAAGUACUCCGCCUGGGAAGUACGAUCGCAAGAUU
rnacentral:rRNA from 1 species